rnacentral:lncRNA from 1 species
ACUGGUUUGCAUGCCAUUGUAAGACCAAAACAUUGUAUCUCCUUUAAUAAAUCUUUGAUUUGUUUUAAGUUGUCUCUGAGUUCAUUUUAAUCAGGAAAAACCACUAUUCUCCUUUUUUUUUAUCCAUAAAUCCAUGAACACAUUAGGCCUAAGCCUUCAUUCCAUCAAUUCACAGUCCCAGUUUGUUCUAUGAGAUAUUGAACAUGAAAAUCUUUCACAAAAGUGUUUGUUAUCAAAUCGUUCAUAACUGUUCGUUAACUGAUCAUACACUAUACAAUUAUUCCUAACUUGUAUGUAUAAAUAAUAAUGAAGUCAUUCAUUGUUACAUUAAAGUAUCACAUUUUAAUAUUGUAGCAUGUUGACUUCAUAUGAUAUAUGUUGGAUGACAUCAUAAUAAUUUAUGAUGGUUUUGCACAUUUAAUGUUCUUUGGAAUCCUGUGUCUACCUUUCCCAGCAAUAAAACAUAUUUUCAUUACAAUUUCAAGAUGCUCAAUACUUGACAACAUUGAAGUCAGUAUUAAGUCUAUAGGAUCCUAUAAUAAUUUUAUUAUUUUAGGAUUGCUAUACUCUCAAAUAGAAUCAAUACUGACUUCCAAAAACUGACUACAUUUAGCUGCAAAUUUUUGAGCCAGUAGACCCAUUUUUUGUGGGAAUUUAUAGCUGCUACAGACGGCACUCAUUGCUUUUUAUUAUUACAGAUAUAUUGUAAACAUACUGCUCAAUGAAAUCCUCAAGGUAGUCUUGAAGACUUUACAAUAUAUAUAUAUAUAUAUAUGAAACAGUUAACAAUAUUUAAACUAUAAUACAGAUUCAGG